CCUANGGGAGGCAGCAGUGGGGGAUAUUGCACAAUGGGGGAAACCCUGAUGCAGCAACGCCGCGUGAAGGAAGAAGGCUUUCGGGUUGUAAACUUCUGUCUUUUGGGACGAAUAAAUGACGGUACCAGAGGAGGAAGCCACGGCUAACUACGUGCCAGCAGCCGCGGUAAUACGUAGGUGGCGAGCGUUGUCCGGAUUUACUGGGUGUAAAGGGCGUGUAGGCGGGUUAUUAAGUCAGAUGUGAAAUACCGAGGCUCAACCUCGGGGCUGCAUUUGAAACUGAUAAUCUUGAGUGCUGGAGAGGAAAGCGGAAUUCCUAGUGUAGCGGUGAAAUGCGUAGAUAUUAGGAGGAACACCAGUGGCGAAGGCGGCUUUCUGGACAGUAACUGACGCUGAGGCGCGAAAGCGUGGGGAGCAAACAGGAUUAGAUACCCGGNUANUC
rnacentral:rRNA from 1 species